rnacentral:lncRNA from 1 species
GCUCCUUUAAAUGCUGGGCUGCCUCUGAUUGAAGGGGUCAGAUGGGGGCAAGGUGGUUGUGCUGGAGUCCCAGGUCUGGUGGUCCUGCCCUGUGAGAAGAAGUGAAGACCAGCCUGUGUGGAGAACAGUCCAGCCACUUUUUCACAAGCCAACAGAUAGAAUCACGACCCGAAAAUUUCCUAGUUACUACACUGUGAACAACCAGACUAUUGGAAAGGGAGCCAAAACUAAAGCCCUCUGUCCUCUGAGAAGAUGAAUACAAUUCACCAAAAGAGAAAGAAUGGAAGGGACGGGGAGGGAGAACAUGUUCCGCAAGGUGCCUUUGGAAGCUGGGCUAUUGACAGUGCACCACCAGGGGGCAGCAUAAAGCAGAGAAGCAGGAGAUUGGAUUUGGUCCUGCUCAGCUCUCUCCUUGAUUGUCAUCUAAACUCUCUGAGCCUCAGUUUAUCACAGUGACUCCAGGAUUUUGAUAUAAUUAUUGUUAUUGUUGUUUUGAGAAUGUUUUGUUGUAA